CUGGCUGCAUGCAUUGUGGGAAAAGAAAACCACGGAUGGGGCCUGCCUAACACGUGACUGACACGUGCCUCUGACCACCCAUGCCUCUACUCCAGGCCUGAGUCACACUCGCGUGUCUGCGUCCUGGCUCACAGUGCCUUCUGGCAUCAAGGACCAUCCCUCUUGAAGUCUGUUCUUCAGAAAUUUGUCUACUGGAAAAAUCCUUCAAGGUUGGUUCAGAUGAAAACGCCCCAAUGCCCCUCAUUCUUGAGGCCCACGUGUUUCACGGGUGUUCACCCCCAGACCGCUGGCGAGUCCUCGUCGGCCGGCAGCACAUGGUGUCCUUCUGUCCAUCCUGGUGGGAUAUUCGUGUCCUCCUCCAACAACAGAGAAAUCUCAGCCACUGUCUCCUGGAGAGUGCCUCUCCCCUCUUCCUGUUCUCUCCUUCCAGGACUGUGGUCUGUUCUGACCUCUAAACCACUUCGUGUGUCGGCCUCCUGGUCUCUGUGUGCCUUUUAGCCCUGUUUUCCACGCCGCUAAGUCUCUCUCCUUGGGUGCUCCGUUCUCCCGAUUUAACCUCCUAUUACUCGGUAAUGCAUAUAAUUCCAGAUGUUCUGUUUGACUCCCUUGGAGCCACCUGGUCUGAUCUCGGGGGCUGGCCCUGUACUCACGCCGAACCUUCCGUCAUUUUUCCCAGAUGCAGAAAAUAAGUCCAUGCGGUGGACCCUUCCCAACAGCUGCAGAAUUUGCAUGUCUGGUUCUGCUGCUCUGCUGUUCGAAUCUUGCUGCUCACCCUCGAGCCUCAGUCAUGCUUGCUUGUGCGCUUGGGGGGUUUUCGUUGUGUUCCUGUGUAGCCGACGGCAGGAGUCCCAAACCCGAGAGGUUGAAGACUCCUUCCAGGAGGAGCUGCAGCUUGGCAUCGGCACCUGCUGGGAACCAGGAUCUCUGUGGACACUCGAUGUGUUGGGUCUUCCCGGGGCCUCGUCUCACACAGGAUGCCAUGGUGCACGCCGCCGGCUUGGGAACGCGUGUUGUGAGUGAGAGUUCCCACACACAGGGAACCUGCGUUAGAUUAUCAGAAAGACAAGUGUGAUCCAGCAUGGCCCUCCAGACCUUCACCCAGGAGCACUGACGAGUUCUGUGACCCGGCACAAAACCCCGUCCACAGACCCCAACAGCAGCUUGGUCCGCAUCAGCUCCGAGCGGAGAGUCCCCGCUGUCCUUCCACAGGCCCCUGGUCACGUGAACGUGCGUCCCCUGCUCAGGCCUGCACUGCCCCCACGAGAUGGUGCCGCGUAGAAAAUCAGUCUCCACUUACAUCAAAUUCUCAGAGUGACAGCCUGGGGGCAGGGCGAGGGCAGCGAGGCGCCCCUGGAGCUGGUGGCCCCGGUCUACGCACAGCAGCAGCAGCACUGGUCACGCCCACGCCCGCACGCGCACGCCACACCAGGCUCAGUGCUGGCUCUGGCCCAGGGCCGACCCAGUACCUGGACGAGCGCCCGGAGCCACGGCCUUUCACCAGCGGUGUUCUCCUCCACGCUGGGCAUCGAGGCCACAGUCGGCCCGAGGAUGCCACGUCCUGUUCUGGACCCUGCAGAUGUGGCCGCGCCUGGCACAAGGGACUCCCAGACGCUGCCUCGCACUGCGUGCAUGUUGGCCGUGGCCUAGCCUGCUGACACCCGUCGGGAGUUGAUAGACCCACGCUCUUCAUUUUCUGUAAUUCCUCGUCCACUGGGGAGAAGCGAUCUCUGGGACCCUGCAGCUCCUCCCGCAACUCCCUGCACGCGCUGUCGGAGACCCCCCCGUGGACACCCUCCUCUCAGCUCGGGCGGUGCCCCCCCCUCCCCCCCCCCGUGCAUGGGGCUGGGGGGCCCCGCACUCGCACACCACAUGGGCAGCAGGCAGCGUUCUUGGCUCCUGGUACAGACACCCCUGUUUAGAAACGGGAGGGGGGCUGGGAAGCCCACCCAGCCCCCAGAAGGCCCGGUGCCAGAGUUCCGUUGUACUUUAUCUGAAGCCGACAACAGAACUUCCUCCUGGGACACUGUUCGCAGCAGUGACUUAGGACCCCACCCGCUCCUCCCAGACUUCGCCAGGGAGAGCGCCCUGGAGAGGAGCGCCUCCCAUUCAGGCUGGGGAACACGGUAUUAAUCACACUUGUAGUUUUCUGCCUCAGUUUCUCCUACCCUCCCUUUUCUUUUUUCAAGUAAGUUUUCGGGGCAGGUUCCUCCAGAUGCACUGGAGCAACUUCGCUGCGGGAAGAGAGCAAGCUUCCCCCAGAGCCCCAGCGCUCCGGCGGCAGAAAUGAGCGGCUCUCGGGCGCAGCCUUGGAGACUCCCGGGUCCUGCAGCGGAAUUCUAGAACGGCAGCACCUGGUCGAGCAUUACGCGGAAGGCAGACUGCCCAGCGAGCCCAGUGACUGUGCAAAUCCUGUCCCUGCCCCCAGGGCGUGAGGGGAGGCCUGUUUAAAUGGUACGGCCAGGAAUAAAAGCAACGUCCUGACCCAGUUUC